CGGGGCCCGCACAAGCGGUGGAGCAUGUGGUUUAAUUCGACGCAACGCGCAGAACCUUACCUAGACUUGACAUCCCGGGGAUUUUCUGGAAACAGAGAAGUGCUUUAGCAAUAAAGAACCCGGUGACAGGUGCUGCAUGGCUGUCGUCAGCUCGUGUCGUGAGAUGUUGGGUUAAGUCCCGCAACGAGCGCAACCCUCGCCUUUAGUUGCCAGCAUUCAGUUGGGCACUCUAGAGGGACUGCCGGUGUCAAACCGGAGGAAGGUGGGAUGACGUCAAGUCCUCAUGGCCUUUAUGUCUAGGGCUACACACGUACUACAAUGGCCGGUACAAAGGGCAGCCACUCAGCGAUGAGGCGCUAAUCCCAUAAAGCCGGUCUCAGUCCGGAUCGCAGUCUGCAACUCGACUGCGUGAAGUUGGAAUCGCUAGUAAUCGUAGAUCAGCAUGCUACGGUGAAUACGUUCCCGGGCCUU
rnacentral:rRNA from 1 species